GAUGAACGCUGGCGGCGUGCUUAACACAUGCAAGUCGAACGGAAAGGCUCCUGCUUGCCGGGGUCCUCGAGUGGCGAACGGGUGAGUAACACGUGGGUGAUCUGCCCUGCACUUCGGGAUAAGCCUGGGAAACUGGGUCUAAUACCGGAUAGGACGAUGGUUUGGAUGCCAUUGUGGAAAGUUUUUCGGUGUGGGAUGAGCUCGCGGCCUAUCAGCUUGUUGGUGGGGUAAUGGCCUACCAAGGCGUCGACGGGUAGCCGGCCUGAGAGGGUGUACGGCCACAUUGGGACUGAGAUACGGCCCAGACUCCUACGGGAGGCAGCAGUGGGGAAUAUUGCACAAUGGGCGCAAGCCUGAUGCAGCGACGCCGCGUGGGGGAUGACGGCCUUCGGGUUGUAAACUCCUUUCGCUAGGGACGAAGCGCAAGUGACGGUACCUGGAGAAGAAGCACCGGCUAACUACGUG
rnacentral:rRNA from 1 species